CACCCUCUCACCUUUCCACUGCUGUCUCUACCUCUCUUCCCACACAAAAUAUAUUUUCCACCAUUGAUGUAAACACUGCCACAGACACAUUAAGCUCUACUUUAACAAUCUGACUAGACAACAUCUAUCCUCUCUCCUCUAGGCCAGCAGGUACUACACCACCCAGCCCUGGGCUGACGUCCUUCGUGAACAUCGGACUGACCUCAGGGCAGCUGAGAGGAGAUGGUGGAUAUCUAAAGAUCCAGCAGAUCUAGAAAAAGCUGCUGGAUGACAAUCAGUCAGGCUUCAAAAGUGGACACUCCACCAAGACUGCCCUGCUGUCUGUCACUGAGUCACUGAGACAGGCGAAAGUUGAAUCCAGAUCAUCCGUCCUGAUUCUGCUGGACCUUUUACACCGUCAACCAUCAGAUCUUACUCUCCACCCUCUCUUUGCUGGGCAUCACAGGAACUGUGCUUGACUGGUUUAAUUCUUAUCUCUCAGCCCAACAACACCACAGUGACUGCUCGAAUCUCUGCCUGCCUGGCAGACAUCUUGGCCUGGAUGAAGGAACACCACCUGCAACUUAACCCAGCCAACUCCUUGUCUUUCCAACCAACCCUGCUGUUGAACACAACAUCACCGUGCAGCUAGGGGCAACUACAGUAACGCCUUCCAAAAUGGUCAGAAAUCUUUGGGUAACCAUCAAUAACAAACUAAACUUCACAGACCACAUCUCAAAGACCGCAAGAUCAUGUAGAUUUACACUUUACAAUAUCAGGAAGAUAAGACCCUUCCUCUCUGAACAUGCCACACAACUUCUUGUUCAGUCAGUUGUCAUAACUAUACUGGACUACUGUAAUGCUCUCAUUGCAGGCCUCCCUGCAUGUGCAGUUAGACCCCUGCAAAUGAUCCAGAAUGCAGUAGCACGUCUGAUCUAUAAUAAACCAAAGAGAGCGUAUGCUACACCACUUCUUGUCUCUCUUCACUGGCUGCUGGUUGAUGCACGUAUCAAGGCUCUGAUGCUGGCAUACAGAACAGUAACUGGGUCUACUCCAGCAUACCUAAAAUCAUUUCUGCAGAGCUACGUGCCCACUAGAAGCCUGCGGUCGGCUAAGGAAUGUCGCCUUGUUAUACCAACACAAAGAGGCACCAAAACACUUUCCCGGACUUUCGGCUUCAUCAUACCAUGUUGGUGGAAUGACCUUCCCAACUCCUUCUGUGAAGCUGACUCACUUUCUUUCUUCAAAAAAUGGCUAAAAACACAUCUUUUCCAUGAGCACUUAACCAGUCACAAAAAAAAAAAAAAAAAAAAAAAAAAAAAAUAUCUUGCUGCACAUUAAUCUGUUCUGAAUACUAUUCUGAUGCUAGUGAAACUUUGUAAUAUGGCACUUUUCGUACCACUGUCUCCUUAAGAUGAUUUGCUUAUGUUUUCCUCUUUUGUAAGUCGCUUUGGAUAAAAGCGUCUGCCAAAUGAAUAAAUGUAAAUGUACUCAGUGCACCUUUAACCAACAGGCGGCAUAGCCUAGGUGAUACCAGUCGAAAAGGAAAGUCCUUUCAGAAGUUUGGCAAGUUAUUACAUUUUGAUUAGAAAUUACGAAGACAACUUUUUCUUUGCAAAAAUGUGAUCAGUUUAAAAGGAGUGAAGUAAACAGGGUCAAUUUUAAUUUAAUGUUGACAUGUCAGAAAAGUGGCUUCUACAGUAUAAAAAGAACUUAAAACAGAUGUUUCUUAUCCACAAACACAUCUGUGCUUUUAGUGUGUCUCAAAAGCGUAUUUUUUUUUAAGUCAUGUUGAAGCCGAGUAUUUAUCUUUGCUCAAGGCUGCCAUAUUGUAGCUAAAAGCAGAAUGACAGCAGAAGAGAAGCAGCAAUAUUUAAACUAACACACUAUGACAUCAUCUUGGAAAAACCCUGCAAGGAAUUCAAAUCUAUCACUAUCUGGGUCCUAGUGUGGAUCUUCAAGACUCCACAAACACCCAUCAUUGCUUUUGCCACAAAAGGAGUUUCUGAAUAUACUAUAUAAGUUGCCACCUUCAUGCUGUUUUGCGCCUGCUGAAAAUACCACUAAGAUGGUUUACUGAUUUUCUAGCUGUUGGACCAGCAAAGCCAUGCAUAGCCACGCUGUUCACCAGUUUGUCUUGUCAGACAAUCAUAUACCUAACCCUAAACUCUACGCUAACCCUAACCAUUAAACACAACAAUAUAUUAAACACCCUUAAAAUCAGAGAAGAGUAAUAGGUUGAUUCUAAUUUUGUCAAGUCUCAACCUUGGCCUUACAACUAACCUCAAUUCUGACCCUAAACCUAACACUACAAUCUGACUGGCUGAUAUGAAUGUUGCUGUAGGACCAACAAGGAUCCAGGAACAUUGCAAAAUCACACAUUCUGCUCAUUCACACAGCUCAGUGCUUCACACUGGACUUGCUCAACUCAUAGUUACCUGGCUUGCAUUCAUAGAGAUCACAGCACUCGCCGGGUUUGCCUGAGCUCUUGGACACGAGGAUGUUGAGGUGUCCAGGCUGGCAAACUUUCCUCAGACACCCUGCUGGGCUGCACAC